CGUGUGCUGUGGUGUGUGUGUUUGCAUGAUAGGAAAUCUGGGCUGAGCUCAGAGUAGAAAGAAGAAUUCUCCCAGAUUCAAACCCACUGACCUACAUGAGCGUUAAAUAUUUGCAGCUCGCGACUGACACUGGAAUUUCCCGUUUGCCUGACGAGCUGUUUUUUUUUUUAUUCCAGAGAGUUUCAUGGCCGAGAGAUGAGCAGAACAAACAGACACAAUCGUUCACCACAGAAUCUGAUGUGUCGCAACCCUCCCUGCGUCAUCUGGUCCUGCUGGCUCCAGUUUGUAAAACCACAGCCGGAGACAUGUCCACUUCCUACUGAUCCCUAGAGGGCAGUAGUGGGGCAGUCCUUGAAAUGGAGUGAAUGGGGCUAAACCAUAGAAGAACCGUAGACUGGGAAUAAAGAUGGACGACACGUCUCCAUUGUCCCACUAGCUAACAUGGAGGAGGUGGGAUAUAUCGCCUGUUCUGCAACCAGCCACCAGGGGGCGAUUGAGAAACUUUGGCUUCACUUUUGGCAAAGAAGGUGAAAUGUCUCCCUCUGUCGUCCAGGAUAGAUUCGAGGUCUUGUGGUUCGUACCGGUUUUGCCCACGUUGCUCGCCCCCAGCACCACGAUCUUCACGGUCCGGGUGGGGACGCAGUCCAGCAGCGGGUACUCCGGGAUGGGAACCAGCAGGAAGUUGCCGGACCCGCCGCUGCUCAUGGUUCUCGGUGCAGAGUCUCCAGUCAGACGCAUCGAGCUCCUCUCCGCCCUCGGAUCAGCCUCCUGCUCAGUGGGGGGGAAUGAUCCCUCCGCCCCGGGGAGAGGGAGCCGACACAAUCACUCCAAUAUUCCCAUAACGUCCCAUAAUAAUCCCUCAGAGCUCCAGAGGAAUCCCGGAGCCGGACCCGUGCAGCUUCAUUCCGGGAGAAACGGGCUUUUCUCUGAGAUGCAAUAAAUCCAGAUAGUUCCUCAAAGUUCUUCCCCCGUGAAGGAGAGAGUUC